rnacentral:rRNA from 1 species
GAUGAACGCUGGCGGCGUGCCUAACACAUGCAAGUCGAACGAGGCCCUUUGUAUUCGUACGAAGGUGUCCUAGUGGCGAACGGGUGAGUAACGCGUUGGUGAUCUGCCCCGAAGUGAGGAAUAACAUCCCGAAAGGGAUGCUAAUACCUCAUAGUGUCAUGGGUUUUAGAAACCCAUGUCUAAAGGAUUUAUUCGCUUCGGGAGGAGCCUGCGUCCCAUCAGCUUGUUGGUAGGGUAACGGCCUACCAAGGCUAUGACGGGUAGGGGACCUGAGAGGUCGGCCCCCCACAAUGGUACUGAAACACGGACCAUACACCUACGGGUGGCAGCAGUAGGGAAUAUUGCCCAAUGGACGAAAGUCUGAGGCAGCAACGCCGCGUGCACGAUGAAGGCCUUCGGGUUGUAAAGUGCUUUUACGUGGGAAGAGGAAGGACGGUACCACGUGAAUAAGGAUCGGCCAACUACGUG